UGGUGGGCCUGGCCAAGGCAUGUCACUCACCAAGCCGUUCUGCGUUGUGCAGCUGUGUACGGCCACCAUUGUCCUUGCUGCUGGGAUUGAUGAAGAUUAAAAUUGAGACAGCUGCUAGGUCCUCAGACCACUGUUGCAUACAGGCAAGAGGAGAGACUGUGUGCAGCUGUCAAUUUGGCCAGCCUUGGGUCUAGCCAGCUUGUAUCAGUGUUGAUUUCUUGUAUAAGCCUGACAGCAGCGCUGCUGGUCAUUUCCGAAUCUUUUCAGGUGCCUUUCAAGUCUUAUUGUGAAGAAUGUGGAAGUUUGCGUUUGUGGUCGUUUGGACUAGCAGAAUAGGCCACUUCUGCUUUCAACAGCAGGCGAACGGGAAAUUAUUUAACUAUACAUACCGAUUUUAGGCUUUCGUCUUGUUCACUACAUUUUACCAAAUGAAUAUGGUUUUCCAAAAACAUGAAAGGGCUGCCACGUGCAUGAACGCUGCAGUGGCUCCAAAUUAACAAACGACGUGCAAAAAUCACUUCUGCCUGAAAUGUGCUUAAGCCAUGUGAAGCACCAAACCAAGACAAAAUAUGUUCAUAUUGCCACU